rnacentral:lncRNA from 1 species
GGGAUUUGGGCUUAUUAUUUUCAAUUGAUUUGAGCUUACAGACUCUUUUUUAGGGGUGUUCUCGUAGUUGUUUAGGGGUAUCCUUGGUAUAAAAAACGAAAAAAAAAACAAAAUUUUACACUAUCGAUAAAAAGUUGAGCCGUAGCCCAUGCUACGACUCGGACAACAUAAGGUCCGCCCCUGUUCCAUGCAGUUGAGACCGGGGAAAAACAUGAAAACAACCGGCGGAAUGAUGGUAUUAAUGUUGUUGUGAAUUGGCACUUUCUGACUCAAGUACUGAAUAGGAUUUAAUACUUUUUUCUACGAAUAAGAUUGUUCUUGACACUUGUUGACACUAGGCACUCCAUCAAAAUUUAUACAAAGAAUCAGUUCCGACUUUAACAGUUGUCAUCAUAUUUUAUUUUCACAGCUCCGUAAAAUGUAUCUGGCUCCAAAACAGUACGUGUGUCUUUGUAUAUAACUAAUUGAUGCCCCGCCCGCGUUGCGGGGCGAUGGCCGAAUAGCUCUCAAUCAAUUAAAAAAUACUACUAUAAUUUUGCUAGGAAAAAAACUAAAACGAUGAUAAGACUGUAAUUUUGGGCUCAGGGCAAAACUGUAAUUUUUCAGGACUAAUGAGCGAGUGUUAGGCAGCUCCUUUAGACGAAAAAAAUCUAAAUCGAGUCAACCAAUUAAAAAAAAACUUUUAUAGUUUUGCUAGAAAAAUUAAAACGAUGGGGAAAACGUAACAUUGAACUGAGGGGGAAAUCAUAAUUUUGUUUCAGGGAUAAAAUCGUAAAUUAAAUGGACCAAUGGGGUUGAGGGCAAAAUCGUAAUUUGGAUGUGUGAGAAAAAAACUAAUGGCAAAAGUGUAAAUUUAAACAGGGCAAAAUCGUAAUUUUGAACCGAGGGCAAAAUUGAAAUUUUUUGCUGGGAAAAAAGCGUAAAUUUAUUUUAAAAUGGGGGUAAAAACAUAAUUUUGAACAGAUGGCAAAAUCGUUAUUAUAAGGAAAAAAAAUUAAUGGCAAAACUGUAAAUUUAAACGGGACAAAAUCAUAAUGUUGAACCGAUGGAGAAAUUGAAAAUUUUUAGCUGGGAGCAAAAUCAUAAAUUUAUUUUUAAGUGAGGGUAAAAACAUAAUUUUGAACUGAUGGUAAAAUCAUAAUUUUAAAACGGGAUAAAAUCGUAAAUUUGUUGGGCCAAUAGAGGAGUGGCAUGCAUGACUAUAAAUAUAAACGGGACAAAAUCAUAAUU